ACCGACUAAUGUUGAAAAAUUAGCGGAUGACUUGUGGCUGGGGGUGAAAGGCCAAUCAAACCGGGAGAUAGCUGGUUCUCCCCGAAAGCUAUUUAGGUAGCGCCUCGUGAACUCAUCUCCGGGGGUAGAGCACUGUUUCGGCAAGGGGGUCAUCCCGACUUACCAACCCGAUGCAAACUGCGAAUACCGGAGAAUGUUAUCACGGGAGACACACGGCGGGUGCUAACGUCCGUCGUGAAGAGGGAAACAACCCAGACCGCCAGCUAAGGUCCCAAAGUCAUGGUUAAGUGGGAAACGAUGUGGGAAGGCCCAGACAGCCAGGAUGUUGGCUUAGAAGCAGCCAUCAUUUAAAGAAAGCGUAAUAGCUCACUGGUCGAGUCGGCCUGCGCGGAAGAUGUAACGGGGCUAAACCAUGCACCGAAGCUGCGGCAGCGACGCUUAUGCGUUGUUGGGUAGGGGAGCGUUCUGUAAGCCUGUGAAGGUGUGCUGUGAGGCAUGCUGGAGGUAUCAGAAGUGCGAAUGCUGACAUAAGUAACGAUAAAGCGGGUGAAAAGCCCGCUCGCCGGAAGACCAAGGGUUCCUGUCCAACGUUAAUCGGGGCAGGGUGAGUCGACCCCUAAGGCGAGGCCGAAAGG
rnacentral:rRNA from 1 species